rnacentral:rRNA from 1 species
GUCUAUGGCCAUGCCACCCUGAACGGGCCCGAUCUCGUCUGAUCUCGGAAGCUAAGCAGGGUCGGGCUUGGUUAGUACUUGGAUGGGAGACCUCCUAGGAAGACCAGGUACUGUUGGCG